rnacentral:rRNA from 1 species
AUAUUGAUGGCGGCGUGCUAUACAUGCAAGUCGAACGAACUCUGGUAUUGAUUGGUGCUUGCAUCAUGAUUUACAUUUGAGUGAGUGGCGAACUGGUGAGUAACACGUGGGAAACCUGCCCAGAAGCGGGGGAUAACACCUGGAAACAGAUGCUAAUACCGCAUAACAACUUGGACCGCAUGGUCCGAGUUUGAAAGAUGGCUUCGGCUAUCACUUUUGGAUGGUCCCGCGGCGUAUUAGCUAGAUGGUGGGGUAACGGCUCACCAUGGCAAUGAUACGUAGCCGACCUGAGAGGGUAAUCGGCCACAUUGGGACUGAGACACGGCCCAAACUCCUACGGGAGGCAGCAGUAGGGAAUCUUCCACAAUGGACGAAAGUCUGAUGGAGCAACGCCGCGUGAGUGAAGAAGGGUUUCGGCUCGUAAAACUCUGUUGUUAAAGAAGAACAUAUCUGAGAGUAACUGUUCAGGUAUUGACGGUAUUUAACCAGAAAGCCACGGCUAACUACGUGCCAGCAGCCGCGGUAAUACGUAGGUGGCAAGCGUUGUCCGGAUUUAUUGGGCGUAAAGCGAGCGCAGGCGGUUUUUUAAGUCUGAUGUGAAAGCCUUCGGCUCAACCGAAGAAGUGCAUCGGAAACUGGGAAACUUGAGUGCAGAAGAGGACAGUGGAACUCCAUGUGUAGCGGUGAAAUGCGUAGAUAUAUGGAAGAACACCAGUGGCGAAGGCGGCUGUCUGGUCUGUAACUGACGCUGAGGCUCGAAAGUAUGGGUAGCAAACAGGAUUAGAUACCCUGGUAGUCCAUACCGUAAACGAUGAAUGCUAAGUGUUGGAGGGUUUCCGCCCUUCAGUGCUGCAGCUAACGCAUUAAGCAUUCCGCCUGGGGAGUACGGCCGCAAGGCUGAAACUCAAAGGAAUUGACGGGGGCCCGCACAAGCGGUGGAGCAUGUGGUUUAAUUCGAAGCUACGCGAAGAACCUUACCAGGUCUUGACAUACUAUGCAAAUCUAAGAGAUUAGACGUUCCCUUCGGGGACAUGGAUACAGGUGGUGCAUGGUUGUCGUCAGCUCGUGUCGUGAGAUGUUGGGUUAAGUCCCGCAACGAGCGCAACCCUUAUUAUCAGUUGCCAGCAUUAAGUUGGGCACUCUGGUGAGACUGCCGGUGACAAACCGGAGGAAGGUGGGGAUGACGUCAAAUCAUCAUGCCCCUUAUGACCUGGGCUACACACGUGCUACAAUGGAUGGUACAACGAGUUGCGAACUCGCGAGAGUAAGCUAAUCUCUUAAAGCCAUUCUCAGUUCGGAUUGUAGGCUGCAACUCGCCUACAUGAAGUCGGAAUCGCUAGUAAUCGCGGAUCAGCAUGCCGCGGUGAAUACGUUCCCGGGCCUUGUACACACCGCCCGUCACACCAUGAGAGUUUGUAACACCCAAAGUCGGUGGGGUAACCUUUUAGGAACCAGCCGCCUAAGGUGACAGAUUAGG